CACGCUGAAUUCAGCUAUCAUCACCACUCAGAUACGCCAUUGAUGCUCUGCUCUCUCAGUCUUUCUCUCUUAUGGGAGCAUUGUCAGUUCCCGCCAGACACCAUUUUCAACGUUUAGAAGAAAUAAAGAGUUACUUUCGUUUUCAUUGUUGAGGCUUAGAUUAAACACAGCAAUGGAUUCUCCAAGACGGAAGGAUUCCCCUUCAGGGAAUUACCGUCACCACAAGGAUAGUGGACGUAGUAGAUCUCCUGGACAUCGCCAUCAAGCACGGCGUUCUCGUUCUUAUGAUGAGGAUAGAGACAGAAGGUCACAUCAUGAUAGACGUGACAGAGGUGACAGGGGAGGUGAUAGAGGAGGAGAUCGUUAUCACAGUCGUUCCAGAUCACCAAUGUCAGGCAGAAAACGCCACAACAAUAUGCAUGGUGGCAGUCAUCGGGGUGGAGGAGGAGGUGGAGGAGGUGGUGGUGGAGGAGGUGGAGGUGGAGGUGGUCCACCAGACAAUCCAGAACCCACCCGUUGCCUUGGUGUAUUUGGAAUGGGACUAUACACAACUGAGACAGAAUUGCAGCAUGUGUUUGCCAAAUAUGGUCCCCUUGAGAAAGUACAAGUUGUUAAAGAUGCUAAGACCGGACGUUCACGGGGGUUUGCCUUUGUUUAUUUUGAGAGUCUGGAAGAUGCUAAAUUGGCCAAAGAGCAAUGUACAGGCCUAGAAAUUGACGGUCGGCGCAUUCGUGUGGAUUAUUCAAUUACUCAACGACCUCAUACUCCUACUCCGGGCAUUUAUAUGGGUAGACCCACAAUAACUAGUGGGCGUUAUGACAAAUACGACCGUAAUGAAAGAGGAUACCGUCGGUCACCUUCGCCCUACUAUGAGAAAAAUUACCGUUCCAGCCGUCGAGGUUACGAGCGUUCACGCUCGCGAUCUUAUUCUCCACCAAGACAAAACUCGCGAGAAGUUUUGGAAGAGAGAAGGUUGAAGUUGAUUUGAGUCAAGAACAGAAAAAGGAUAAAGACAGCUCAGAAAACAGAAAAGGAAAAGGCGCAGCUCAGAAAACAGAAAAAUUUUAAGAACGAUUUGCUGUGGAAAGGGGGGAAGAUUUCUCACUGAACGAAGUCUUUACUCUGAAGAGAUCACUUUGAAACUAUCGGCUCAACUGGAGAUCUCGACAAGCUUGCUGCAGUUGAAAUUCAAUUUCAAGAUUCAAAAAAGAAGAUAUAAGUUUUCCUAGGAUGUCAAGUUAUUGGUUUAACGUUCAUUGACAUCCGACUGAAUUGGAAAAAAAUAAUGAUAAUCCAGUAAGUAGGGCUAUAUAAAGGCACUUAUCUGACUGUAUUGGUCUUUUCAUCUCGUGAUGGUGUAGUAUUUGACUGAAUCCACUCACACAGGCUGCUGUUGAAGACCAUUUUAUGUAUUAUUUCUGUUCUUCAAAGGCCUGGCAGCUGGUGAUAAGCCCCAAUACUAGACUGAUCCAUGUCCGUGAAUUCUUGUUGGAUCAAAAUUGAGAAAAAAAUAUAUAGUACACUCGACUGAACCGAGUUCGUCGUACCAUGUGCACCGACCCACGCAGAAAUAAGCCAAUCGGAGGAUCGUCCUUCAACAUCAACAUCGCCUCAUGACCCUGCUCUUUACAUUGAAGCCAGCUGCAUUUAUCGAACCGUGUCGUGACAGUCGAAGCGUGAAAAAGGCAAUAUAUUUAAUAUACUGUCAAAGGUAAAUGACAGUCGCCGUGCACGCGUGAAGGAGUUUGUAUCCGGUAUCCAUCAAUUUAUUACCGUGAAUAAUGAUUGUGGAUUCCACCGGUGGAAACCCGCCACAUGUGUUGAUAUUUACCGUUGUUGAACACGACCGCCACUGACAUCAAUAGCUAAAUUAGAUUAACACGUAUAGCAAAUCUGAAAAGAUCGCAAAUUGGAAGCCGAACGGAAACAGCAAGUAUGUGUUGCAAAGGACUGUCUUGAUUAAAUAAUUCAAAAAGGAUAAUGUGGCAUGCGAUUGUAGGUUCUUGAAGGACGCGCCCAACCGCCUUUAGCUGCCAAUGACGCGAUGUUGCGUUUGUUGGAUGUUACCAGUUCACUGUAAUCAUCUAUGAAAAGAACCAAUAAGGAUCUUCACCUGUUGGUAGUAAAGUGACCCGGGAUUCUGUUUUUCACAAUCAUUAUCGAGCCGAAGUCCUGCCGAGAUGGACAGUGGGAAGAUUGGAGUGUUGCUGAGUCAGCUUGGCCAUGUCGAGCCCCAGCCGAACCUGCGGUAAUUUUCUGGCUCAGCCAAGCCAGCUACGCAGUCGUCGCCGAUUUGCGACUCCUGUGCCGUCCAUUGGCAUACUUUUCUCUCGGCUCUUUCUUUUCCCUCCAGAUCUGUAA
rnacentral:misc_RNA from 1 species